rnacentral:rRNA from 1 species
UACAGAGGGUGCGAGCGUUAAUCGGAAUUACUGGGCGUAAAGCGUGCGUAGACGGCUAUCUAAGUCGGGUGUGAAAGCCCCGGGCUCAACCUGGGAAUUGCAUUCGAGACUGAAUAGCUAGGGUACGGUAGAGGGAAGUGGAAUUUCCGGUGUAGCGGUGAAAUGCGUAGAUAUCUGGAGGAAUACCGGUGGCGAAGGCGGCAUCCUGGACCGAGAUUGACACUGAUGAGCGAAAGCUAGGGGAGCAAACGGG